AAGUCUAACUUUAGUAGCUUCUGUUUAACAGCUUUCAGAGAUACUACUGGAAUGGAAAGAGUGUUAUUAUCACCACAUGAUGAGACUAUAUCAUCUGUUUUUUUCCACAAAUAGAGAACAGAAAUAUGUUUUGAACUCUUCUGCCUUUUCUACACUAUUAUUGGUAAUUCUACCAUUUCCAUCUAAUAAUAGACCAAUAUCAUUGUCAGGACUAUUUUGUUCCUAAUACGUUUAAAAAUUUCUUCUUAUUGUCCUUAACUCUGCUGACUAUAGAUUUCUUCUUGUGUUUGAGACAUAUAGAGGCCCAUUGGUGGUUCAGUACUCUGUCGUCGGGCCUGACAAACUCACUGUACCUAACACGCUAUUGUCAUAAACUAUAUCUAAAAGGUGUCACGUAAGGUAUCACAUACAAACUUGUAGUCCUGAAAAUCAAUGUGUAAUGUACAAUAGAACCUCAGAGUUACUAACACCUCAGGAAUGGAGGUUGUUCGUAACACUGAACAAAACAUUAUGGUUGUUCUUUCAAAAGUUUACAACUGAACAUUGACCUAAUACCACUCUGAAAUUUUACUAUGCAGAAGAAAAAUGCUGCUUUUAACCAUCUUAAUUUAAAUGAAACAAGCACGUAAACCGUUUCCUUACCGUGUCAAAUCUUUAAAUCUUUUAUUUAAACUUUCUCUUUAUUUUUUUAAUAGUUUACAUCUAACACAGUACUGUACAGUAUUUGAUUUUUUUUUUUUGGUCUCUGCUGCUGCCCGAUUGCAUACUUCGGGUUCCAAUGAGGUGCAUGGUUGACCGAUCAGUUUGUAACUCUGAUGUUUAUAACUCUGAGGUUCUACUGUAUGUAUAGUAAGCCCACAGAGGACUAUGGAUAUAUGUGCUACAAAUGUGUACUUAAAAUGUGUGUGGCAAGCAGUGCCUAAGCCAUAUUUGUUCCAGACAAAGGAUUGUGGUUCCACCUGCUUGGAUGUGUCUCCAAUGUAAAUUAGGAAGGGUGUGGCCAAAACCAAAGAAAAGCACAUUUACAUGCAACGUAAACAAAGCCAUCAGGAGAGCAAGCAGGGAAAGAUGAAUACUUACCAAUCUCGAUGAGGGAAUGGACCCCCAGGAAGUCUUCUUGCCUCUUGAAACAGGAUCAACGAACUCUGGGAUGACAUUAUCGCAUCUACAUCCCAGCAGUCAAGAGAAGCUUGGUCUGGGCUUGUUUUCAAUGAAUACAUUUCAAAGGGUUACUGGGCUAUCAACAGGGUGUCUGAACCUCAAAGAAUACGCAAUUGAAUCAACUAAUUGUAUACAACAUUACUGUAUUAUAAAAUCAUAUUGAGUAAGGACUUUUAUGAAAGCCUGUGACACACUGGUGAGUGAGAUCAUUGUGAAAUGUCUGCAUUAACAUUACAUGAGGAAUUAUGGAGACUCACUGAUAUUGUGCUUUAAAGUCUGUGACCAAACAGAGGGACAAACAGGUUUUCUCCCAGAAUGGAGGGAUGGCAGCUAUCUGUAGCUGAGGCCUGGUCUGACAGGAGUAAUUAACACAUGGAGAGAUGCAUCACUUCUUGGAAGAUAAAAUUAGGGAGGUAAACAGAUCAUUAGGCUGAAAACAGAACAUUUGUGCAACAUAGAUAAGUAAAUAGGUCAGUAGGCUAAAAAGACAGAAUGCCUGAGCCAACUAAGAAAAGAGGCAGAACACCCACAGCAUCAUUUACUAUGAACUAGAUACCAAUGGGCAAGAUAAGUUAUGAAUGUAGAGACGAGGUAAAGAAUAGGUCAAGCAUGGACAGUACUGUUCCAAUGUAUAUUAAGCAUUAUGAAUCAAAACAAUGGAAGCCCCAUGUACAUAUGAAUCAGCUGGGGAAUAGGAAGUCAACAGGAAGUGAAGAACAGCAGGAAGCCUUCCUGUCUUGUAACAGGGUCAAUGAACUUUGGGAGAUCUAAACAGAAAGCUACUUUAGUAUUCAUCACUUGGGGAUUAAAGGUUCCAGAGCUCUUGAAGUCACAGAACAUUGGAUCCUUCAACCAAGAGGGCUGAAGUCCCUUGGAACUGAGUUUAGGAGACGCCCAUAGCUAGCUUUCCAGUGGCAACAAAGGAAAUGACCCACACUCAAACGGGCCUUAAGCAACCAUCACGAGCCAUUGACCAGCAGGGGAAUUGUAAACAAGAGAUUUACAAUUCUGUGAGAGACAGUAGUGCAAGCACUACACAACAAGGAUUGCUCAACUCUGACUCAGUUGCACAAGCACCAUACAAUGGAGACUGCUCAACUCUGUGACUCAGCAAGGCCCAUCAGGACACAUCUGGGCCAGUAUCUUCCCUGGGAUAUGAAUUGAGAGUAUAAAAUAAGGGACAGUGUCAUCGUGAGACCACCUCUUUCCUCCCCCACCUACUCUGAAGGCAACAAGAGUUCUGGGACGACAAAGACUUUGAACUGAGGAAACUGGUCCCAGGCUGAGAAGGAAAUUCAGCAUGUGUAUUAAGAACUGUAACCUACCUGCAACAUCCAGUGGGGUGAGAAAAGCUGUUUGAUUCAAAUCUUGCUUAGUCUGAAAGUUUAGGAUUUAGAAACCAUGUUUACUUUUUAUUUUCUUAGAUAAAUAUAUUUGACCUUUUAUGCUUACCACUUAAAAUCUAUCUUUCUGUAGUUAAUAAACUUAUUCUAAUGUUUCAUUUUAAA